UACGUAGGGCGCAAGCGUUGUCCGGAAUUAUUGGGCGUAAAGAGCUUGUAGGCGGUUUGUCGCGUCUGCUGUGAAAUUUCGGGGCUCAACCCCGAACUUGCAGUGGGUACGGGCAGACUAGAGUGUGGUAGGGGAGACUGGAAUUCCUGGUGUAGCGGUGAAAUGCGCAGAUAUCAGGAGGAACACCGAUGGCGAAGGCAGGUCUCUGGGCCACUACUGACGCUGAGAAGCGAAAGCAUGGGCAGCGAACAGG
rnacentral:rRNA from 1 species